AACGCACAUUGCGCCCUCUAGCAUUCUGGAGGGCACGCCUGUCCGAGCGCCAUUUGAGACCUCGAGCCCCCGGGCUCGGUGUUGGGCGACGCCCGAGAGGGCCCGCCCCGAAAGCGUCGGCGCCGCCCGCCGGAACCCAGCGCACCGUGCCCAACCGCCCGCGCGAAUGUCCCGGGGGGUGGCCGCCCGAAGAUAGCGCCUGGCGCACCGAAGCAUGGCCUCGGAUCAGGCGGGGCUACCCGCUGAACUUAA
rnacentral:misc_RNA from 1 species